CAUGCAGUCGAGCGGCAGCGGGAAAGUAGCUUGCUACUUUUGCCGGCGAGCGGCGGACGGGUGAGUAAUGCCUGGGGAUCUGCCCAGUCGAGGGGGAUAACAGUUGGAAACGACUGCUAAUACCGCAUACGCCCUACGGGGGAAAGGAGGGGACCUUCGGGCCUUUCGCGAUUGGAUGAACCCAGGUGGGAUUAGCUAGUUGGUGGGGUAAUGGCUCACCAAGGCGACGAUCCCUAGCUGGUCUGAGAGGAUGAUCAGCCACACUGGAACUGAGACACGGUCCAGACUCCUACGGGAGGCAGCAGUGGGGAAUAUUGCACAAUGGGGGAAACCCUGAUGCAGCCAUGCCGCGUGUGUGAAGAAGGCCUUCGGGUUGUAAAGCACUUUCAGCGAGGAGGAAAGGUUGGCGCCUAAUACGUGUCAACUGUGACGUUACUCGCAGAAGAAGCACCGGCUAACUCCGUGCCAGCAGCCGCGGUAAUACGGAGGGUGCAAGCGCUAAUCGGAAUUACUGGGCGUAAAGCGCACGCAGGCGGUUGGAUAAGUUAGAUGUGAAAGCCCCGGGCUCAACCUGGGAAUUGCAUUUAAAACUGUCCAGCUAGAGUCUUGUAGAGGGGGGUAGAAUUCCAGGUGUAGCGGUGAAAUGCGUAGAGAUCUGGAGGAAUACCGGUGGCGAAGGCGGCCCCCUGGACAAAGACUGACGCUCAGGUGCGAAAGCGUGGGGAGCAAACAGGAUUAG
rnacentral:rRNA from 1 species